GACGAACCGUGCAAACGUUGUUCGGAAUCACUGGGCUUAAAGGGCGCGUAGGCGGCUGACCAAGUCCGGGGUGAAAUCUUUCGGCUCAACCGGAAAAGUGCCUUGGAUACUGGUCGGCUAGAGUGAGGUAGGGGCAUGUGGAACUUCCGGUGGAGCGGUGAAAUGCGUUGAUAUCGGAAGGAACGCCGGUGGCGAAAGCGACGUGCUGGACCUUUUCUGACGCUGAGGCGCGAAAGCUAGGGGAGCGAACGGG
rnacentral:rRNA from 1 species